CAUAUAUAUUUCUAAUCACACAAUAAUCCUAACAGAAAAUCACAUAUUCCAAAACCAGAUCUGAAAACUCUUCAUUCUCUCAAAAUUUCUUCAAGAACACAAAAACUUCAAAUCAAAAGAACUUCAUCAAUCUUUGAUCAAUCUUGGAAAUUCCUUUUGCAUUGAUCCUCAAUCAACAUCUCCUUGGACUGUUUGUGGUAUUCAGCAUCUAAUUCGCACCAAAACUCGACUGCACCUACAAGCAUCAUUCAUGGCAAAUUGCGAUUUGGAGCACUAGAAGCGACCUGGAU
rnacentral:lncRNA from 1 species